UACGGAGGGGGCUAGCGUUGUUCGGAAUACUGGGCGUAAAGCGCGCGUAGGCGGACCUGCAAGUCGGGGGUGAAAGCCCGAGGCUCAACCUCGGAACUGCCUUCGAUACUGCGGGUCUCGAGUCCGGGAGAGGUGAGUGGAAUUCCUAGUGUAGAGGUGAAAUUCGUAGAUAUUAGGAAGAACACCAGUGGCGAAGGCGACAUACUGGUCCAUUACUGACGCUGAGGCUCGAAAGCGUGGGGAGCAAACAGG
rnacentral:rRNA from 1 species